UACGUAGGGGGCAAGCGUUAUCCGGAAUUACUGGGUGUAAAGGGUGCGUAGGUGGUAUGGCAAGUCAGAAGUGAAAACCAAGGGCUUAACUCUGGGACUGCUUUUGAAACUGUCAGACUGGAGUGCAGGAGAGGUAAGCGGAAUUCCUAGUGUAGCGGUGAAAUGCGUAGAUAUUAGGAGGAACAUCAGUGGCGAAGGCGGCUUACUGGACUGAAACUGACACUGAGGCACGAAAGCGUGGGGAGCAAACAGG
rnacentral:rRNA from 1 species